GAUAAUUUAAUUUUACGAAUCUACAUUGAGGCGUAAUAUAAGUGUUUGAAGGUAAUUAUUAUGAAAGAGCGUUUUCCACUACUGUAACAUAUGAUAGCAAGGCACUGGUUAUUGAUGGAACGAGGAGAAUUUUGCAGUCAGGGUCUGUGCAUUAUCCGCGAACCACGCCUGAUGUGUGGCCAGAAAUCAUUAGAAAGGCGAAGGAAGGAGGAUUGGACGUGAUUGAGACUUAUGUCUUUUGGAAUUAUCAUGAGCCUGUCAGAGGAGAGUACUAUUUUGAAGGCAGGUUUGACCUUGUAAGGUUCGUGAAGACAGUGCAGGAUGCUGACCUCUUUGUGCAUCUGAGAAUAGGUCCCUACGCUUGUGCAGAAUGGAACUACGGGUCUGUCUUUUAUUAAAUUUUGUUGUCUAAUAUAAUCAACCACCUUGAUGCCAUAUGGAGUAAUUAGGGGGAUCGGGGCUGAACUCUCUUUCUCAAAGGCUCUGUUCACGCUAGCCCUCAAAUAGUAACUCGUUUCCACUAUCUUUCAUCGGGUGUC